rnacentral:rRNA from 1 species
CAGCAGCCGCGGGAAUACGUAGGGUGCAAGCGUUAAUCGGAAUUACUGGGCGUAAAGCGUGCGCAGGCGGUCCGCUAAGACAGAUGUGAAAUCCCCGGGCUUAACCUGGGAACUGCAUUUGCGACUGGCGGGCUAGAGUAUGGCAGAGGGGGGUAGAAUUCCACGUGUAGCAGUGAAAUGCGUAGAGAUGUGGAGGAAUACCGAUGGCGAAGGCAGCCCCCUGGGCCAAUACUGACGCUCAUGCACGAAAGCGUGGGGAGCAAACAGGAUUAGAUACCCCUGUAGUCCCUGUCUCUUAUAC